rnacentral:rRNA from 1 species
GACGAACGCUGGCGGCGUGCUUAACACAUGCCAGUCGAACGGAAAGGCCCUGCUUUUGUGGGGUGCUCGAGUGGCGAACGGGUGAGUAACACGUGAGUAACCUGCCCUUGACUUUGGGAUAACUUCAGGAAACUGGGGCUAAUACCGGAUAGGAGCUCCUGCUGCAUGGUGGGGGUUGGAAAGUUUCGGCGGUUGGGGAUGGACUCGCGGCUUAUCAGCUUGUUGGUGGGGUAGUGGCUUACCAAGGCUUUGACGGGUAGCCGGCCUGAGAGGGUGACCGGCCCAAUGGGGACUGGGAUACGGCCCAGACCCCUCCGGGGGGCAGCGGGGGGGAAUUUUGCACAAGGGGCGGAAGCCUGAGCCAGCAACGCCGGGGGGGGGAGGACGGCCUUGGGGUUGUAACCCGCUUUCGCCUGUGACGAAGGGUGGGUGACGGAAAUGGGUAAAGAACCACCGGCUAACUCCGU